UUGCCAGCCCGCUCAGAAACUCAAAGGAAUUGACGGGGCCCGCGACAAGCGGAGGAGCAUGUGGUUUAAUUCGAUGAUACGCGAGGAACCUUACCUGGGCUCGAACGUAAGAUGACUGUAGGUGAAAGCUUACAUCUCUUCGGAGCAUUUUACGAGGUGCUGCAUGGUUGUCGUCAGCUCGUGCCGUGAGGUGUCGGGUUAAGUCCCAUAACGAGCGCAACCCCUACCUUUAGUUGCCAUCAGGUAAUGCUGGGGACUCUAAAGGAACUGCCUACGCAAGUAGUGAGGAAGGCGGGGAUGACGUCAAAUCAGCACGGCCCUUACGUCCAGGGCUACACACGUGCUACAAUGGCCGAUACAGAGGGCAGCUACCUGGUGACAGGAUGCAAAUCUCCAAAGUCGGUCUCAGUUCGGAUCGGAGUCUGCAACCCGACUCCGUGAAGUUGGAUUCGCUAGUAAUCGCGCAUCAGCCAUGGCGCGGUGAAUACGUUCCCGGGCCUU
rnacentral:rRNA from 1 species